GACGAACGCUGGCGGCGUGCCUAAUACAUGCAAGUUGAGCGCUUAAGGUUGGUACUUGUACCAACUGGAUGAGCAGCGAACGGGUGAGUAACGCGUGGGGAAUCUGCCUUUGAGCGGGGGACAACAUUUGGAAACGAAUGCUAAUACCGCAUAAAAACUUUAAACACAAGUUUUAAGUUUGAAAGAUGCAAUUGCAUCACUCAAAGAUGAUCCCGCGUUGUAUUAGCUAGUUGGUGAGGUAAAGGCUCACCAAGGCGAUGAUACAUAGCCGACCUGAGAGGGUGAUCGGCCACAUUGGGACUGAGACACGGCCCAAACUCCUACGGGAGGCAGCAGUAGGGAAUCUUCGGCAAUGGACGAAAGUCUGACCGAGCAACGCCGCGUGAGUGAAGAAGGGUUUCGGAUCGUAAAACUCUGUUGGUAGAGAAGAACGUUGGUGAGAGUGGAAAGCUCAUCAAGUGACGGUAACUACCCAGAAAGGGACGGCUAACUACGUG
rnacentral:rRNA from 1 species